AAACUUUCAACAACGGAUCUCUUGGUUCUGGCAUCGAUGAAGAACGCAGCGAAAUGCGAUAAGUAAUGCGAAUUGCAGAAUUCUCGUGAGUCAUCGAAUCUUUGAACGCACAUUGCGCCCUUUGGUAUUCCGAAGGGCAUGCCUGUUCGAGC
rnacentral:rRNA from 1 species